rnacentral:rRNA from 1 species
GACAGAGGGUGCAAACGUUGUUCGGAAUUACUGGGCGUAAAGCGCGUGUAGGCGGCUCGGAAAGUCGGAUGUGAAAGCCCUGGGCUUAACCUAGGAAGUGCAUUCGAAACUCCCGAGCUUGAGUUCUGGAGAGGAAGGCGGAAUUCUCGGUGUAGAGGUGAAAUUCGUAGAUAUCGAGAGGAACACCGGUGGCGAAGGCGGCCUUCUGGACAGUGGACUGACGCUGAGACGCGAAAAGCGGUGGGGAGCAAACAGG